rnacentral:rRNA from 1 species
UACGAAGGGGGCUAGCGUUGUUCGGAAUCACUGGGCGUAAAGCGCACGUAGGCGGACUUUCAAGUCAGGGGUGAAAUCCCGGGGCUCAACCUCGGAAUUGCCUUUGAUACUGUAGGUCUCGAGUCCGGAAGAGGUGGGUGGAAUUCCUAGUGUAGAGGUGAAAUUCGUAGAUAUUAGGAAGAACACCGGUGGCGAAGGCGGCCCACUGGUCCGGUACUGACGCUGAGGCACGAAAGCGUGGGGAUCAAACAGG